CUUUUAAUGAGAGUGUGAUCCUGGCUCAGGACGAACGCUGGCGGCGUGCCUA
rnacentral:rRNA from 1 species